GAUGAAGAACGUAGCGAAAUGCGAUAAGUAGUGUGAAUUGCAGAAUUCAGUGAAUCAUCGAAUCUUUGAACGCACAUUGCGCCCCUUGGUAUUCCAUGGGGCAUGCCUGUUCGAGCGUCAUUUGUACCUUCAAGCUCUGCUUGGUGUUGGGUGUUUGUCUCGCCUCUGCGUGUAGACUCGCCUCAAAACAAUUGGCAGCCGGCGUAUUGAUUUCGGAGCGCAGUACAUCUCGCGCUUUGCACUCAUAACGACGACGUCCAAAAGUACAUUUUUACACUCUGACCUCGGAUCAGGUAGGGAUACCCGCUGAACUUAAGCAUAUCAAUAAGCGGAGGA
rnacentral:misc_RNA from 1 species